GGCUCCUUCCCAGCAUUCCUCCACUUCCGGCCCCUCCUCCAUAAUUGUCUGCCAUCUUUUGGUUGUCAUGCACCGGGAAUAUACUUAUUCAUUGGUGUAGCCGGCAGGAUAGACAGUCCGAAAAUAUGAGUGAAGGACAGGACCUGAACACCGUGCUGCAAGGGAUGAAUGCGCAGAUCCAGUCCCUGCAGCUAGCACAAGCCACGACCAACCGGGAGCUAGAAGAGACGAAGUCCAGGUUGGCUGCUGCACAGAAGAAGAAAAGACGCACCGCCGCCAUGAGCCUCCCUCCUACAGCUUCCCGCACUACGCUACUUCCGCCCUUCCUCCGUCCACUGCUCAUGACGUCAUCAUUCCCAUCUUCCACAACGGCUCCUUCCCAGCAUUCCUCCACUUCCGGCCCCACCUCCAUAAAUGUCCGCUGACACCAUCUUUUGGUUGUCAUGCACUGGGUUUAUAAAGUAUUGUGGAUCAAUUUUCAGUAUACGGGGCCGGAAACC